UUAGACGGCAGCAGUCCCUCUGAUGGCUUC
rnacentral:piRNA from 1 species